UGGGUUAUGGCUCAGUGGCAGAGUGCUUGCCUCAAAAGCAUGAGGCACUGGGUUUGAUCCUCAGCACCACAU
rnacentral:tRNA from 1 species